rnacentral:rRNA from 1 species
AGCCUGCCCAGUGACCCAGUUCAACGGCCGCGGUAUCCUAACCGUGCGAAGGUAGCGUAAUCACUUGUUCUUUAAAUGAGGACUAGUAUGAAUGGCAUCACGAAGGUUAUACUGUCUCCUUUUUCUAAUCAAUGAAACUAAUCCCCCCGUGAAGAAGCGGGGAUUAAAAUAUAAGACGAGAAGACCCUAUGGAGCUUCAAACUAUAUAACACUGGCUUUAAUCCAUUUAUUCCACAGGGUUCUCAUGUUAACUCUAGCCUUUUGAUUAUUAGUUUUGGGUUGGGGUGACCGCGGAGCAAAAAUUAUCCUCCAUGAUGAACAGAACUACUCUUGAGCCAAAAGCCACAACUUUAAGCACCAACAAACUGACAUAAAUUGACCCAAUAUCUUGAGCAACGAACCAAGUUACCCUAGGGAUAACAGCGCAAUCCACCCAAGAGCCCCUAUCGACAGGUGGGUUUACGACCUCGAUGUUGGAUCAGGGUAUCCCAGUGGUGCAGCCGC